AAUGUAAAUUUAAAAAGAAAUAACAUCUGCUUUUGUUCACAGCUUUAUCCUAAGUUAUUAGCCAUCACUUGGUUUGGGAUAUUAAAGAAUUUAUUUUUUCCUUACAAACUCAGCAGCUUUGUAGAGAUUUUUGUUAUGCUAGAUCAACACAAAUAAUCACCUGUUAUGUUAUUUGGUUACUCCAUCCUGCCUCAGCCUUUGUGACAGUUGGUCAGCAUCUGGGAAUUUAAGAUUCUAUGGCCAGUAUUUUUAAUGGAAGCAGGAGCUCACACGUGAAACAAUACCCUCCAUCUCCACUGUGCGUGUCUGUCAACCACUAGCUGUGAACUGACAAGGUUAACCUCCUCCAGCUCCAUUUUGAUUGUAAACGGUAAUUACUUUUUGGAGCUCUUGAAGAAGUUGCAGUUUUCUUAGCAUUUACAAGCUAGCACUGCCUUUCCAAGAUGGCGCCUAGAGCUUUACAAGGCCAAGUCCUCACCUCCAGGGAAACACUCAGCUCUUCAAAUGACUUCAUCUCACCUGCAGACGAGAAGCAAACCUCUCCAUCCCUUUUCCCUUGCAAGUUUUGCAAUAAUUUCAUCAUUGAGUGUGAUUGUUGUAAAGUCGUUUUUUGUAUUGGUAGCGAGAAAAAGUAAUAAAUUAGCAAACG